rnacentral:rRNA from 1 species
UGGCGAACGGGUGAGUAACACGUGGGUGAUCUGCCCUGCACUCUGGGAUAAGCCUGGGAAACUGGGUCUAAUACCGGAUAGGACCAUGCUUUAGUGUGUGUGGUGGAAAGUUUUUUCGGUGUAGGAUGAGCCCGCGGCCUAUCAGCUUGUUGGCGGGGUAAUGGCCUACCAAGGCGGCGACGGGUAGCCGGACUGAGAGGUUGGUCGGCCACAUUGGGACUGAGAUACGGCCCAG